AACUCCUGCUUUAAUUUAGGUAAAUCCUGCUCUGUCUCAGACUGUAAAAUGGGGCGGAGCACAGCUGGUUUACAGUGGGUGUUACGUCCCCGGGGAGUGAAGACUGGGGAAUUUCCACCAUCAAGUUAAGUCACGGUAAUAAGGGAUUGACUUCUGCAGUGAAUGGGAACCUUGACCUUUCACCUUGGGCAAACUGGGUUCCGAAGUAGCUGACUGGUGGUGAGAGGUUAGUUUUUCACUGAUCGCCUAUUCCUAGCAUCCUGUCCUGAAGCAGCCACCUUUCUUGCAGCAAUAAAAAUGGAAACGCUGGAAGAAUUAAUCAGGUCAGACAGCAAAGAUGCUGCCUGACUUCCAGUACUUAGAAUCUAAUUCCCAUCAUGAAGCAGGUUCCUGAAUACUCUGGGAUACUUGUUGACUGUAUGGCUUUUGGAAGCAAACCACUGCAUGCUGGAGCGGGUGCUGUAUCGUUGCACACGUGCAGCUGGCUGGCUGUUGGUUUCCUCAUCACUAUCCUAUGAGCAGCUCGUCCAGUUCCUCCUGAGGCUGAACAUAUUCCUCGCUCCCAGUUCCCUUACUUCAUGACCCCGCUCAGCGGGGAGAUGGUUCCAGGUUCCCAUCCACUUUAUGGGAAGGAGUGCUUCUCAAGACCUUCCUGAGCAAUUCAGCUCUGACCUGAAGCUUACGGCCACCAGAGAAACCAGAAUCAGAACUGUUGACUGUGGUGGAAGUGGGAAGACCAGAGAAGAUCCAUUCAGGGUGAGUGGAGGAAAGAUUAGAGAAGAUGUCAGAGAGUCUUGGCUAUCUCCCGCCAUUCCGGGCGAAGGGAUACAGUUUGCUGGCUUCACUAUUCACUACCAAUAUUGGACUAUUGAAUCCUUCAAAAGCAGAGGAAGUGGAGUAUGCUUUAUGAUUAACUCCUCGUGGUGCACAAACGUGAUGAUUAUGUCCCAGUCCUGCUCACCUAACUUGGAACAUCGAGCGAUCGAGUGUCGUCCAUUUUAUCUGCUGGAGUUUUCAGCCAUUAUCUCGGUAGCAGUCUACCUUCCACCUCAGGCCCAUGUCAUUUAGACUAGCGAACUAAGUGAUGUAAUCAACAGGCAUGAAACAGCGCACCCUGCUGCCUUUUCUAUCAUUUUGGGAGGUUUUAGCCAGGCCUGCUUGAAGAAGUCUCUAAAUAAUUAUCACCAGAGUAUGCUUUAUGUGGAACCAGAGGAACCAACACACUGGACCAUGGUUAUAUGACCUUCAAGAAUACUUAUUGUGCCAUUCCAUGCCCACACUUUGAAAAGUCAGAUCACCCAGCUGUACCUCUACUCCCUGAAAAUAGGCAGAGAUUAAAGAUUGCAACACCAAUAGAGAGGACCAAGAAGGUUUGGACAAGGGAGGCAGAGGAGCACUUAAAGACUGCUUUGAGUCUGUGGACUGGUCAGUAUUUAGGGAUUCAUCUUUGAGUCUGAAUGAAUAUGCCACAGCUGUCACUAACAUCGCUAAAACCUGUGUGGAAAAGUGUGUGCCUACAAGAACAUACUGUACAUACCCAAAUCAAAAGCCAGGGAUGAAGCUGGAGAUUUGCAGUCUGCUGAGUGCUUUAUCAGUGGCAUUCAAGUCUGGUGAUCCAGGACUACACAAGAAGCCCAGGUACAACUUAGGGAGGGCUAUCUCAAGAGCAAAAGAACAAUUGUGAUUGAGGUUAGAGGCGAAAUCAGAUGCAAGCCAAUUCUGGCAGCAUUUGCAGGGCAUUGCUUCCUACAAAGUGAAGCCUAACAUCAUGAAUGGCAGGGAUAUUUCACUCCCAGAUGAGCUCAAUGCCUUAUAUGCAUGCUUUGAAAGGGAGAAUAAAACUACAGCUGUGAGGAUACCUAUAGCAUCCGGUGACCCUGUGAUCUCUGUCACGGAGGCCAACGUCAGAAUGAUUUUCAGGAGGGAGAACCCUCACAAGGCUACAGGCCCCAAUGGUGUACUUGGUACAGCUCUAAAAAUCUGUGCCAACCAACUGAUGAGUGAGUUCAAAGACAUUUUCAAUCUCUCAUUGCUCCUGUCAGCAGUUCCUAUCUGCUUCAAAAGGGCAACAAUCAUACCAGUGCCCAAGAAGAGCAGAGUAUGCAGCCUAAAUGACUAUUGUCCAGUGGCACUCAUAUCUAUGGUGAUGAAGUGCUUUGAGAGGGUGGUUGUGACUAGAAACAUAUCCUGCCUAAGCAAGUUUGCCUAUCACUACAAUAGGUCUACAGUGGAUGCAAUCUCCUUGGUUCUUCACAAAGCCUUGGAUCUCUUGGACAAUCCUAAUACUUACGUUAGGCUGCUGUUAAUUGACCACAGCUCAGAAUUUAACAUAAUCAUUCCUACAGUCCUGAUCAAAAAGCACCAAAACCUGGGCCUCUGUACCUCCCUCUGCAACUGGAUCCACAACCUCCUCUCAGGAAGACCACAGUCUGUGCCGAUUGGAAACAACAUCUCCACCUCUCUGACAGUGGCGCACCUCAAGAAUGUGUGCUUAGUCCACUGCUCUACUCUCACUUCAUCCAUGACUAGGCGCAGCUCAAAUGCCUUAAAUAAAUUUGUUGAUGACGCAACUAUUGUUGACAGAAUUUCAGAUAGUGAUGAGGAGUCAUACAGGAGCGAGUUACAUCAGCUGGUUGAGUGAUGCUGCAGCAACAACCUUGCACUUAACGUCAUUUAGACCAAAGAAUUGAUUGUGGACGUCAGAAAUUGUAAGAUGACUGAACACACACCAAUUCUCAUUGAGAGAUCAGAAGUGGAAAGGGUGAGCAAUUUCACAUUCCUGGGUGUCAAUAUCUCUGAGGAGCUAUCCUGGCCUAACAUAUUGAUGCAGUUAUAAAGAAGGCAUGACAAUGGCUAUAUUUCACUGGGAGCUUGGGGAGAUUCAGUACGUCACCAGAGACAGUUGCAAAUUUCAACAGCAUACCAUGAAGAGCAUUCCCACUGGCUGUGUCACCAUCUGGUACAGUGGAGGGGAGGGAACACACUGCACAGGAUCAAAAUAAGCUACAGAAAAUUGUUAACUCAGUCACCCCCAGCAUACAGGAGAUCUUCAAGGAGUGAUUCUUCAAAAAGAUACCAUCCAUCAAUAAGGACCCCCAUCACCCAGGACAUGCCCUUUUCUCAUUGCUGCCAUCAGGGAUAAUUCAAAGUUUCAAGCUCCUGGGUGUCAAGAUCUCUGAGGAUCUAACCUGGUCCCAACAUAUCGAUACAGUUAUAAAGAAGGCAAGACAGCGGCUAUACUUUAUUAGGAGUUUGAAGAGAUUUGGCAUGUCAACAAAUACACUCAAAAACUCCUAUAGUUGUACCGUGGAGAGCACUCUGACAGGCUGCAUCACUGUCUGGAAUGGAGGGGCUACUGCACAGGACCGAAAGAAGCUGCAGAAGGUUGUAAAUUAGUCAGCUCCAUCUUGGGUACUAGCCUACAAAGUACCCAGGAAUCUUUAGGGAGUGGUGUCUCAGAAAGGCAGCAUCCAUUAUUAAGGACCUCCAGCACCCAGGGCAUGCCCUUUUCUCACUGUUACCAUCAGGUAGGAGAUACAGAAGCCUGAAGGCACACACUCAGCGAUUCAGGAACAGCUUCUUCCCCUCUGCCAUCCGAUUCCUAAAUGGACAUUGAAUCCUUGGACACUACCUAAUUUUUAAAAAAUAUACAGCAUUUCUGUUUUUGCACUUUUUAAAUCUAUUCAUUAAUUGAUUUACUUGCUUAUUGAUUAUUAUUAUUUUUAUUUAAGUUUCUCUGCUAGAUUAUGUAUUGCAUUGAACUGAUGCUGCUAAGUUAACA